GGGUGACAGGUGGUGCAUGGUGUCGUCAGCUCGUGUCGUGAGAUGUUGGGUUAAGUCCCGCAACGAGCGCAACCCUCGACCUUAGUUGCCAGCAUUCAGUUGGGCACUCUAAGGUGACUGCCGGCUAAAAGUCGGAGGAAGGUGGGGAUGACGUCAAAUCAUCAUGCCCCUUAUGACCUGGGCUACACACGUGCUACAAUGGGCGGUACAAAGGGUCGCGAACCCGCGAGGGGGAGCCAAUCCCAAAAAGCCGCUCUCAGUUCGGAUUGCAGGCUGCAACUCGCCUGCAUGAAGCCGGAAUCGCUAGUAAUCGCGGAUCAGCAUGCCGCGGUGAAUACGUUCCCGGGCCUU
rnacentral:rRNA from 1 species